rnacentral:rRNA from 1 species
GACGAACCGUCCUAACGUUGUUCGGAAUCACUGGGCUUAAAGGGCGCGUAGGCGGGUUCCCAAGUCGGUGGUGAAAUCUUUCGGCCCAACCGGAAAACAGCCGCCGAUACUGGGAGUCUUGAGGGAGGUAGGGGUCGAUGGAACUUCCGGUGGAGCGGUGAAAUGCGUAGAUAUCAGGAGGAACACCAGCGGCGAAGGCGGCGCUCUGGGCCGGUACUGACACUGAGGAGCGAAAGCGUGGGUAGCAAACAGG